GCUGCGCUCAAUUGCUAGCUUUUCCUUUAACUCCCGCUGACGUCAGACUGCGGGUUGAAACGGAACCGUCAUCCUCCCCGUUCCCCAGGCAUGAAGCGCGAGGGAGGGGGAAAGAUGCCUUAGGAAGGGAGUCCGAAGGCGCGGAUGUGCUGGCGGAUCGUUGGUUCUAAGAUGCAGCAGUUGCGGUUACUGUGUGCAUCAGUUACCCUGGAAUGCAAACAGUCACAUGAAAGGGGCUGCUGGUUGCUCCAUAGCACUUUAUUGCAGCGAAAGCGAGAGGAUUUGUCAAAUUGCAAGUGCAUUCCUAAAGUUUGGGGUCAUAAACUCUUCCCUAUACUGAAUGGCUUCAAUUGAACAAAAGAUUAAAACCAUUUUAAAAAGUUCAUUCUUACUGUAAAGGCAAGAUCCUCAUUCAAAUUUAUUUAGAGGUGCUGGAGAGGCAGAUUGGAAUACUUCAUUCACUGGAAAGACUACUCUAACAAAUUCAGAGAAGCUGACAAAUUCAGAGAAGCUGCUGCUGAAGUUCAUGCACCCUGACUUGUCCAUCAGUUACAGUUAAUAAGCUGAAAUCCCCAGAUAUGCUCAGAGGUGGCCACUGAUUCUUAUGACUCUGGAGGGGAGGACAAAAGCUUCUGUCUGCUCCCCUCCCCUCCCCUCCCUUCUAAUAUCCCACUCUGCAUAUUAGAAGGGAGAUAGCUACCCAAGCCAUCCUCCUUUUGACUCUAGAGGGCCCAAUUUAAACAACUUGCCUUCCCCUUCUUCCAGGACAAGUUAUUUUUUUCUCUCUCUGGACUCUAUGGAGGAGCAGGGUAGAGAGGCAGAACGUGAUCCAAAGAAUUCUUGGAGUCGGAAAAAGAAAAGGUUUUUUUUCAAAACAUGGCAAAAGGGGAGCAAAGGGACAUUUCAGCCUUAUCUCUUCCGAAAGGUUUCAGUAUAUCAGGGAAUCUGUAAGAAAGAAAUUCAGACAACUCACAGAUAUAUUAAUGUACUCACUAAUCAGUGAGAACUGCUGCUUUCAAUUUAGCCUCCAAGAUUAUUUAACCUCUUUUUACUGGCAUUAAAACUGAUCAAUGAGA